AUUUUGUGCAACAGUAGCCAAGCUGAAGGGCUGAACAGAGACUAAAAUAUUUACUGUUUGGUCCUUUACAGAAAGCCUUUGCUGAUUCCUGUUCUAAAGAGAAGCCUGAACCUUGGGAAUGCACCAUGCCACAGGUAUCUGUUGCUGCGUUUUGCAGAAGGACCGACAGCUUUGGGCCCUGAGUGAGGAUCUUCACCCCAGAGACUGCAAUGGGCUGAGGACAGUGGCACGUGCUUGGGCAGCCCUGGCAUCACUUAACCCCAGAAGACACCAGUGCCCUGAGUGACACCUGGGUGGGGAUGGGGUGCACUGCUUUGGAAGGGGUCUCUAUGCCAGCUCUGCUUGGGCCUGGGUCUGUGUGUGUCAGGCUGGAGGCACAGGUGGCAGACUCAGCUGCUUCUGUGGCUGGGGCCUGGCCGCGGCCUCCUCUCAGCCCUCUCCCCAACUCUUUAACAGAGAAGGGCCCAGAGAGAGAGGCCUCUCCUCUAGGACAUCAUAAACAGCAGGUCAAGAGCCAAAGUCACAGCUUCCACCCUGCCUCGAGUAGGAAGAGCCUUUUCCCCCAGGACCUGCCACUUCUCAGCCCGUCUCCGAGGAAUUGUAGAGUGAAGGCUGAAAGGGCCGCCUUUUCCAUAGGACGGUCACAGGUCCCACUGGCUGCAGGUAGUGUCCCGCUGAUGCCCCUCAUCCCCACCCAUGGGUAGGCUGGGGAAGAUGGAAUCUUCUCAUUGGUCCUAGGGGCUGCCCCAGGAGUCUAGAUACAAAUGUUUCACUUCCCCAGGAGGCUACAGCUGCUCUUGGGGGGCUGUGGGGUGAAGAUGGGGUCCAAGUUCUGUCCAGAGUCCGAGUCUGAGUCUGGUGGCUACCCCGUCAUCUCCUGCAAGGUGGAGUGGUCACGCACUGUCUGGGUGCUGAGAUAUAAGCCCCGCAGGGACAGCGCUGAGCAGAGGAGGCCACAGCCCGACCUGCAGCAGCCCAGCCCCUGGGACUCCACUCGCCUUCUACCUGCUCAUCUCCGCUCCAGGAGCUCUCGCCAUGGUGACGGUGCGCAGGCCGUGGCCCGCCGUGGCCACAGUGCUGCUGGCCCUGCUCGCCUGCCUGGGGGCGCUGGUCCACGCCUACCCCGCCAAACCCGAGGCUCCCGGCGAAGACGCCUCGCCCGAGGAGCUGAGCCGCUACUACGCGUCGCUGCGCCACUACCUCAACCUGGUCACUCGGCAGCGGUGAGCGCGUGCGCCCGCGGGCUCGGGCCCCAGGGGUCCCGGGGGUCCCGGGGGUCCCGGGGGUCCCGGGGCUCCCGCCCUCCGCCCCUUCUCCCGCCCCGCCCGCCCGGGGGCGUGUCCCGCCUGACCCCGCCCCCUAUGGCCCCACCCCCAGGUACGGGAAACGCGACAGCCCCGAAGCGGUGCUCUCGAAACUGCUCUUCCCCGACGGCGAGGACCGCCGGGCCAAGUCAUGGUAAAAGCGCCCCCCACGCCAGCACCACCGGCCACACAUCCUGUCCCCUCGGGCUCUGUCCGGGAUGUGACGCCCCACGGAGCCCCACCCCGGCCCCGCCACCCCAGGUCUGAGGCCGCGCUCUGAGCAGCCCUUUCCCUUCCCUCCUCCAGGCCAGGAGGCGAGUACAUGUGGUGACGACCCCAAGGGCUCCUGGGAGAUAUGCUAACUACACCGACCUCAUUUGCAUGCUUGCUCCUGACCCUGGACCCUGGGUUCCUCUCCCUGCCUGCUGCGCCUGGGGUGUGGGUGCGGGAUGGGGAUGGGGAUGGGGUCUUCAUUCCACUUCUCCGUGUCCCCAGCCCCUGGGCUGGCGGGCUGUGUGUGGUCUUACCCUGGUCCCCAAAUAAAGAGCAAAUUUCACUGAAACGGAAUGUGUGC
rnacentral:lncRNA from 12 species